UACGUAGGGUGCGAGCAUUGUCCGGAAUUAUUGGGCGUAAAGAGCUCGUAGGCGGUCUGUCGCGUCUGGUGUGAAAAUCCAGGGCUUAACCCUGGACCUGCAUCGGGUACGGGCAGACUAGAGUGCGGUAGGGGAGAUCGGAAUUCCUGGUGUAGCGGUGAAAUGCGCAGAUAUCAGGAGGAACACCGGUGGCGAAGGCGGAUCUCUGGGCCGUAACUGACGCUGAGGAGCGAAAGCAUGGGGAGCAAACAGG
rnacentral:rRNA from 1 species